rnacentral:rRNA from 1 species
CCUACGGGGGGCAGCAGUGAGGAAUAUUGGUCAAUGGACGAGAGCCUGAACCAGCCAAGUAGCGUGAAGGAUGACGGCCCUAUGGGUUGUAAACUUCUUUUAUAAAGGAAUAAAACGAGGCACGUGUGGCUUUUUGCAUGUACUUUAUGAAUAAGGCUCGGCUAACUCCGUGCCAGCAGCCGCGGUAAUACGGAGGAUCCGAGCGUUAUCCGGAUUUAUUGGGGUUAAAGGGGGCGUAGGCGGCCUUUUAAGGCAGCGGGGAAAGUAUGUGGCUCAACCCGAGUAUUGCCGUUGAAACUGGGGGGCUUGAGUAUGCUUGAGGCAUGCGGAAUGCGUGGUGUAGCGGUGAAAUGCUUAGAUAUCACGCAGAACCCCGAUUGCGAAGGCAGCCUGCC